CAUGUAACAUUUCACUGAUUUGAAUUUUGCAGGAAUGUAAUAUCUUAACACUCUCCUCCUAUCCUUUUGCCAGAAUUUCAGAAUAGUUACAGUUGACCUAAAUUUCAUUAAAAAAAAAAAGUCAAACUUGUGUGUGAUUUCAAAGCUGCAAAAUGACAGCUUUGAUUCCUGUGUCUCAUCCCUAUGGCAAAGCAAAAUUCUAUGUGUGACAUCACAAACUAGCCAAUAGCAACUUUAUCCCCAGAGACACCAUGCCUGACUUUUCCUAUUGCUGAGGUCUGCUAGAGCUUAGGCAAGUGCUGAGCAGCCGACAGCCAUGAUGUGUGGGAAUUCGCAGAACUUCCCAGAGUCCUUGUAUUCCUCUAUACUGAACCCAUGAGUGCUUCGUGUCCUCUCCGCCACUUACCUCUGUAUAUCCCGAGGCAGAAUGUUUUUCCCUUACAGGGACCACUGAUAGAAAGAUUCAAACAAACAAAAAGAGCAACAGGAUAUUUAUUUUACCAUGUCGCGUUUUAAGAUCUUAUAUGAAUACCAUGGAGAUUAUUUUCCUUGGCCAAAAAGGAAAAUGAGUUGGGUGAGGACUAGUUAUAGACCAGUGUAGUUAUUUAAUGAAAAAGAACGGGACCUAUCUGACAGUCAAAAGCAUGCACCUGGGACAUGCUCUCUGAGUAUGUGCAGUCAUUACAGGUUUUACUCUUGCAAUUGGACUUAACCAGAUUAACUGAUUUUGCAUUUGCUUUGAUAAGCUUUUUGUCCGUGUUAAAAACAUUACUAUCUCUGUGACAAUAGCCUGUGUCCGUGUGUCCCUUAUUACUCAGAUGUGUUUUCUGGGUAAUAUUCUCCAGCUAAAAUGUCACAGAAUUCUUAAUUAGUUGCAAUAGUUGUCAGAAGGAAAAGAAAAGGGAAAUCCCCUUGGUGAUAUUGCUGCUGAUACUUGCAAAUAAGAUCCACCUUAAGUGACACCCUGGCUUAAGGAGAAGUUGACCCCCACAGGCAUUCCUGUGGGCAAGCUUUUGGACAAAUCAAACAGCCCCAAGAGCAAGCUCUGCCACCCCACUCUAAAGCCACUUGCUUCUAUCUUUAAGAGAUAGAACUGAGGGCCAACACCUGCUGUUCACAUGGCUAAACAAUCAUUUUUUGUUUAAUGAUAAUAAAUUCCUAACACAAUAAUCCCUUUAGACUUUGGCUGCCCAAAUUCUACUAUAGGUUGGUUAUGUGAAUGUGCUGCCCUCCUUCCUACUUCAUAGUUAAAAGAGCACCUGCUUACAAUGAGGAAAGUGGUAUAUCCUUGAGUCCAUGAUCUGUUUCUGUGUAACAGAACACCCCUCACUUUUGUGGCUUGAAGACACUAUUUACUCACAAUUCUGUGGGCAAGUGAUUCGGGCUGAGCUCAGCUGGGUGAAUCCACCUAUAGACACAUCAUCUGGUAGCUUGGCUGUCUGUGAAUUGUCUAAGAUGGCCUCACUGAUGACAGUUGAUGCUGGCUGUUAGUGAGGCCUUUCUCUCCCUGUGGUUUCCAGGCCUCAAGAAGGCUAAGCAAGGCCUUUGUACAUGGAGGUCUCAGGGCCUGCAGGAGGGCCAAAAUGAACACUGCAAGACAUCUUGUAACGGAGGCUUGUAGAUCACCCACCUUCACUUCUGCCACAUCUUAUCAGUCAACAUAAGUCACAAUGCCAGCCAAGGGUCAAGGGGAAGGGAAAGAGACUCCCCCUCUUAGUGGGAGGAACGGCGAGGUCACGUUGCAAGAGACUCCUGCUUCCAUCUUUGGAAGCAAUCUACCACAAAGAACUACUACCAAAGUAUUUGUAAUAAAACCACAGCAAGAUUCUGCCCAGAAAGAAAAUUUCCAUGUGUUUUAGCUUACUAUUUCUGACUUGAAGGUUUUGUACUCUAAUGAUGCAAGUCUGUCACAUGCAUAUUGUUAUAUUGGAGCCAUCUCAACAUUUGAGUGUCAUUAUUCCUAGAAAAGCCCAUAUUUAAGAUCUGUCCAGAGAAACUCCCAGGGGAGGGAGUGGAGCAUUUCAGGAGGUUGCUCAUUGGUUUAGUUCUGCUUUUUUGGAACACAGACUCACCCACAAGUAGUUGCUAGUGCUUUUUCGUUUUGUUUUGUUUUGUCAAUUAUAGGCUUGGAGUGGAAGAACAGCUGGAAGUAGAAAUCUGUCAGCUCUAGGAACUGACCUCCCCCUCUCUUUCAUGGCCGCAUGACGCCUCUUCAACUCUCUCUGCCUCUCAUUGUAUCUCUGUUUUUCUCUGUCUCCUCUCUACCAACAAGAUCUUCCUAAACUUCUGUCAUCUCUGCCUAUGUGAUGCUACCCCCAAGGGCCAGGGCUCUUCCUGUUAUAGGUAGCUUUUGCUUACUUGGACUAACUUUGUGAUAAUUAUCUGAAUGGACUAUUAUUUUCUCCAUUUUACAGGUGAAGAAAUUAGGCUAGAAAGAUGUUAGUGUUGUCCCAAGUCACACACCCAAGAAAUGGCCAGACCAGGCCUGAGUCCAGUACUGUGGGGCCCCUGGAGCCCAUGCUUUCAACCCUCUCCGAUUCUCCCGCACUGCCUUGUUUUGCACAUGGGUGGUCCAUUCUUGUCCUUAAAGCUUCUCAACUGUGCAGGUUCAGCUCCC
rnacentral:lncRNA from 1 species